UACGGCGGGGGCUAGCGUUGUUCGGAAUUACUGGGCGUAAAGCGCCCGUAGGCGGCUUUGUAAGUUAGAGGUGAAAGCCCGGGGCUCAACUCCGGAAUUGCCUUUAAGACUGCAUCGCUAGAAUUGUGGAGAGGUAAGUGGAAUUCCGAGUGUAGAGGUGAAAUUCGUAGAUAUUCGGAAGAACACCAGUGGCGAAGGCGACUUACUGGACACAUAUUGACGCUGAGGUGCGAAAGCGUGGGGAGCAAACAGG
rnacentral:rRNA from 1 species